CCCUAGGGGUGCAGCAGGCAACUACGGCAUUGUUCACCGGGAGUCACCUGAUCCCCGGGGUAUAGACCUGGCUCUGCUCUACCGGCGCGACCGUUUCUCGGUGGCAGAGACUGAAGCCUGGCUACCGGCGGUUCAUGACAGCAUUCCUGUCUCAACAAGAAACAUUCUGUACGUAAAAGUGAAGGCAGGAGCGGACACUCUUCACCUUGUUCUCUGUCAUCUUCCCUCGCGGAGAGGAGGGGUGCUGGCGGCCGGCGACCUGCGGGAAACCAUGGUCAGUCUGGCCGGUGACGGGAUUGACUCCAUCAUGAGCACCUCCUCCGGGAGAACUUCAGUGAUAGUCAUGGGCGACUUCAACACCCCUCCCGGAGAGC
rnacentral:rRNA from 1 species